rnacentral:lncRNA from 1 species
CACGCGCUGCCCAAUUUGUCGUGAGAGUUUUGCUCACAAGCUUGAACGACGAUCACUGCCAAAUUCACGAAAGCGUUCUGGAAAAUAACAAUGGACUAGCCUGGACUAAGACUUUCAUGUGCAUAUGCAUGAUAACAAGAAUAUGGUUCUGCUUCAUGUCGCCCGUGAACUUCUAAGCACGGUUAGGCUAUUCAUCCAGUAACUGUAAGUAUUUGUGUAACUUGAAAAUAUAUCAAUGCUCAGGAAGUUAAUUAAGUUGCCCGAAAAUUGGUAUAGCUACUAUAUGACUAAUUUUGG